rnacentral:rRNA from 1 species
UACGGGGGGGGCAAGCGUUGUUCGGAAUUACUGGGCGUAAAGGGCUCGUAGGCGGCCAACUAAGUCAGACGUGAAAUCCCUCGGCUUAACCGGGGAACUGCAUCUGAUACUGGAUGGCUUGAGUUCGGGAGAGGGAUGCGGAAUUCCAGGUGUAGCGGUGAAAUGCGUAGAUAUCAAGAGGAACACCAGUGGCGAAGGCGAGUCCCUGGACAACACCUGACACUGAGGCACGAAAGCUAGGGGAGCAAACAGG